GGGGUGAGUUCAUUGGUUAAGGAACAUCUGCUUUGCAUGCAGGAGGUCCCAGGAUCAAUCCCUAGCAGCAUCU